UGUCACUUAGAUUUGAGAGAAAAGAUUGUUCACGAUUGAGCUUUUCCCAUACUAAAAAUAUAAAUAAAUAUGUAGAUAAGUAGAUAACAACCAAACUUCCAAAGACAGGUACUUAUUUUAAUUUGGAACAGUUCUUCCCUUAAAAAAUUUGUCAACCAAAGUACACAACUUGAAUCCUGUUUAUUUUAUUGCAAUUAAGUCAUGAGUGGACAUUUUCCACACUCUUCCUUAAGAAAUAAACAGUAAGUCAAUGACACUUUUACAGGACUCUCCACAGCAUAACACAAGGAGCAGAAAAACAGGAGAAGAAUAAGUUUGAGACUUUGAUGUUUAAAGGGCUUUAGUGAUUGGAACAUCUGCUGCUGCUUUCCCAGGGAAGCUGGACCAAAGGCGGAGCAACUCAUAUAAGAUGCUUUCAUCAUCUGCAUUUGUCUAACUU